GCGAAGAAGAAGUCGCAAUUUGGCACUUUAAAUUUUAGAACUUUCAAAGCAGGUGCAAGAUUUUGUUGAAAAUUUGUUAUUUUUCGUCGUGAAAACGUUCAACAUGAAUGCCAUAUUACACCAAAGAUUGUGAAAGAACUUCAAAUAAGACGUUUUCGAAAGUGCCGAGUGAAUGAGCUGUAUUCAGGAUGCCCACCGCUGUCAUAUAGCAUAUCUAUUCAUGAAAACAGAAUCGCCCUAUUCACAAUUUUAAUAAUUUGGCAAGAGAAACGCGUUGACAGUGAAAUGUAAGCUCCAAACGGUGGCCACUUGUCAAAUUUCAUGUCCAAGGCUGAAAACAAAGUUAUCAGCGACGUGUCGUGAACUGAGUACAAGUACAGUUUGUAUUGGCUGAAAAAUAACAGAAAAUAAAUCAAAGAAUAGAAUUAUUGUCACAUACUUUGUCCAUGGUGGAGGAGAUAGGAAAGACUCUGAUAAAUGCUGCAAUGCAUGUUUUUCAAUGAUACUCAUGAAACUUUUGAUAUUUUCUGGGGUCAUAUUGAUAUUGAGGUGCAACUGGCAGCGUACCUACUGGAUGGUAUACCAGGCUAAGUGAGUGAUUGAUUGUGAAAAUAACCAUUGAUGCAGUUGUUUGUCCUAGCUACCAUCAAACUGGCUGACAGGUAAUUGACAGGACAAACAAACAAACACAUAAACAGUGAUGAAAUGCACAAAUAUAUGUAAAAAUUCAUGACAGUAAAAAUAAUCUAACAAUGGAAUAUCAUGAAAGCAAGGCUUGGUAAUCUAUCAAUAAAUUAAUUUAUCCAAUAAAUGUUUAAAAAAUACUAAAAAACCGGAAGUAAACACAA